CGGAACAUAGCUCAGUGGGAGAACAACUGUCUUAUACACAGCAAGUCCCAGGUUCGAUUCCUGGUGUUCCGA
rnacentral:tRNA from 1 species